AUUGAACGCUGGCGGCAUGCCUUACACAUGCAAGUCGAACGGCAGCACGGGAGCAAUCCUGGUGGCGAGUGGCGAACGGGUGAGUAAUGUAUCGGAACGUGCCCAGUCGUGGGGGAUAACGCAGCGAAAGCUGUGCUAAUACCGCAUACGAUCUAUGGAUGAAAGCGGGGGAUCGCAAGACCUCGCGCGAUUGGAGCGGCCGAUAUCAGAUUAGGUAGUUGGUGGGGUAAAGGCCCACCAAGCCGACGAUCUGUAGCUGGUCUGAGAGGACGAACAGCCACACUGGGACUGGGGCACGGCCCAGACUCCUACGGGAGGCAGCAGUGGGGAAUUUUGGACAAUGGGCGCAAGCCUGAUCCAGCAAUGCCGCGUGCAGGAUGAAGGCCUUCGGGUUGUAAACUGCUUUUGUACGGAGCGAAACGGCUUCCACUAAUACUGGGGGCUAAUGACGGUACCGUAAGAAUAAGCACCGGCUAACUACGUGCCAGCCGCCGCAGUAA
rnacentral:rRNA from 1 species